rnacentral:siRNA from 1 species
GGUAAGCCAUCAGAGUGUCCAGG